GGUCAGUGAUGAACAGUAAAAGGUCUGAUUACCCAGAAUGCUCCUCCAGCUGGCUCCCAGCAGCUCCUGUCACCAGCGUGCUGGAGUCAUGCAGCGCUGGCCAGAGGGGCUGCUGACACACAGGAUGUGACAUCACAUCCUGAGUCGAGAUCCAGGUACCUCUGGCUCAGUGUGAUGGAAAUCCAACAGGAUCAGUCAGCAUGGAGCAUCAGGCUGUGGGAGGAGCUCAAAGAGCUGAUCUCAAGUUUUCAAGCUGAGACC